rnacentral:rRNA from 1 species
CCUACGGGGGGCUGCAGUAAGGAAUCUUGGUCAAUGGACGCAAGUCUGAACCAGCCAUGCCGCGUGGAGGAUGAAGGUCCUCUGGAUUGUAAACUUCUUUUAUUUGGGAAGAAACUCCCGAUUUCCAUCGGGAUUGACGGUACCAGAUGAAUAAGCACCGGCUAACUCCGUGCCAGCAGCCGCGGUAAUACGGAGGGUGCAGGCGUUAUCCGGUUUCACUGGGUUGAAGGGGUGCGUGGGUGGCCGGGGUGAAAGCUCCGGGCUGAACCCGGAAACUGCCAUGGAUACUAUUUGUCUUGAAUACUCUGGAGGGGAGCGGAAGAUGUCAUGUAGCGGUGAAAUGCUUAGAUAUGACAUAGAACACCCAUUGCGAAGGCAGCUCACUACGGAAAUAUUGACGCUGAGGCACGAAAGCGUGGGGAUCAAACAGGAUUAGAUACCCGUGUAGUC